CAGAGCCUUGUGCAUCACAGUAGGGACUCUGGCUUCUGCUCCUAGUGAGGUGUUGAAGGGUUUUGACCAGAGGGAGGACAGGCCCAGCUUCAUACUUCUAUAGGAUCUCCCUGGCAGUGAGAUGUAGAAUCAAUGGAACAGGAGAGAGGGCUGAAGCAGGGAGACCAGGAAUAUACACCGAUUUUUAGGAAUAACAGGAAUCAUUUCUGCAACUUACUGUAAAAGAAUUCAGGAGGAAAGGAGAAAGGAGAGAGAAUGAUAAAGCAAAAAUGGAAGAAAGGGCCUCAGCUGAGCGUGAGAAUAGGGGAGAAGGUGAAGGACGUUUGAGAUGAGAAGGGAUUGUCUGGGGAGACAGAGUGACCAAGGGAACCACUGAUUGUCAGGCAGCAUUGGAAGACUCCACGGAGGCUAGCCAUCAUCUGGAGUCCAGCGCAGGGAAACUGAGGCAGCAUUUCUGAGCACAGCACCCCCCAGCCGUCCUGGCCUACGGAUGACUUUCAGACACUUCUGCCCUAUUUUAUUUAUUCAUGAGAGACACAGAGAGAGAGAAGCAGAGACAUAAGCAGGCUCCCCACAAGAAGCCUGAUGUGGACUCGAUCCUGGGACUUCGGGAUCACAUCCUGAGCCAAAGGCAGGUGCUCAAUCGCUGAGCCACCCAGGUGUCCCAGCAGGAUGCCUUUUGAGGGGCCAUCACUCCUGACCCCGUGACUGUCCUGCAGAGGAACCCUGGGCUGACCCCUGUGGGAGCUAGUUUUCCUCUUAGCAGUUGCAAUGCUUUCCUUUUCUCAAAUGGCAUUCAUAAAUGACAUAACCUACGGACACACAAAAUUUUAAAUAAAUCAUACCCUGAUUGUAAUAUAAAAGAAAAUAAAAAGAAAAUAUUUUAGAAUAAAUUAAUAGGUAAAUAUUCAGGCACAAUACAUUAAAAAAAAUCACAUGGCUGAGGAUGGAAUCUCCUUGAUUCUGGGGGCUGAAUCAGGAGCUCUGGCAACUCAAAUACCAAGACUGCAUGACAGUCCAAAAUGUUUCAUAGUUCUAGGUAAAGUUCGGAACCAAAACAACCUGGCCUAUUCCCAAUGUAUGUGGAGGUCGCUUUCCUGGCAGAUUCACUGUGUAUUAAAGCCAAGCAAAU